rnacentral:rRNA from 1 species
UACGGAGGGUGCAAGCGUUAUCCGGAUUCACUGGGUUUAAAGGGUGCGUAGGUGGGCAGGCAAGUCAGUGGUGAAAUCUCCGGGCUUAACUCGGAAACUGCCAUUGAUACUAUCUGUCUUGAAUACCGUGGAGGUUAGCGGAAUAUGUCAUGUAGCGGUGAAAUGCUUAGAUAUGACAUAGAACACCGAUUGCGAAGGCAGCUGGCUACACGAAUAUUGACACUGAUGCACGAAAGCGUGGGGAUCAAACAGG